CAGCCAUUUGCAGGAACACUCAAGGAAAAUGUCACUCUCCUAUUGACUGCAAACAACAUCAGCCAACCUGGUUUGAAAAAAAGAAGAAGAUAAUAUCAGUGAAACCAUGAGGUAUCCCUAACAUCACAAUCUUUCCACCAAGAAAUUUUUGAGAGAAGCCACGCAAAUAAAUCAACCUUGCAAAUACUUACUAAGAAAGAGAUCAUGGGAAAAUUUCACUAAAUUACAAUAUAGUAAAUAAAUUCUCAUGGCCCAUUAAAAAUUCGGCAUAAAGGAAAAAAAUCCUAGAAAGAGAAUGCAAAAGACUCAUGACAGAUACGACUGUGAGUACCCUCGCCCAUGCCAUUAAAUCUGGAAUCCCUAAGCUCGCUUCGGCCACCAAACUUAUGGACUCAAGAGAACAACCCCGCCCCCUCCUGCAGCAAAAAUAAAAGGACGACCACCAAACUCAAUAAACAACUUGAUCGUGAAAGGUAAUCAGCUCCUUGGAGAAGGAUCAAGAGCAGGAUAAAGGAAGAGGAAAGUUCAAACUAUACACCCUUAAACUAAGAACUGCAUGUCAAAAAGCAUUAGUGGCAACGACAUCAAGAAAUAAAGUUAAUCGGAACACUAUUGGUGAUCGCCCCAAAAUAUCAAGACCAAACCUUGGUACGACGGACAGACUUACAAAUGGUGAUACAAGCCUAAGCUAACAAAGCUAGAUCACAAGGCAACAAGAGUUGUCAAGCUUGAAUGGAUCGAUUGUCGCCACAAAGGGUUGCGGAAGUAUCCCUUUGAUAAGACCAGAAGCCUGCGCCUA
rnacentral:lncRNA from 1 species